rnacentral:rRNA from 2 species
UUCGGCUUAACCGGAGAAGUGCAUCGGAAACUGGAUAACUUGAGUGCAGAAGAGGGUAGUGGAACUCCAUGUGUAGCGGUGGAAUGCGUAGAUAUAUGGAAGAACACCAGUGGCGAAGGCGGCUACCUGGUCUGCAACUGACGCUGAGACUCGAAAGCAUGGGUAGCGAACAGGAUUAGAUACCCUGGUAGUCCAUGCCGUAAACGAUGAGUGCUAGGUGUUGGAGGGUUUCCGCCCUUCAGUGCCGGAGCUAACGCAUUAAGCACUCCGCCUGGGGAGUACGACCGCAAGGUUGAAACUCAAAGGAAUUGACGGGGGCCCGCACAAGCGGUGGAGCAUGUGGUUUAAUUCGAAGCUACGCGAAGAACCUUACCAGGUCUUGACAUCUUGCGCCAACCCUAGAGAUAGGGCGUUUCCUUCGGGAACGCAAUGACAGGUGGUGCAUGGUCGUCGUCAGCUCGUGUCGUGAGAUGUUGGGUUAAGUCCCGCAACGAGCGCAACCCUUGUUACUAGUUGCCAGCAUUAAGUUGGGCACUCUAGUGAGACUGCCGGUGACAAACCGGAGGAAGGUGGGGACGACGUCAGAUCAUCAUGCCCCUUAUGACCUGGGCUACACACGUGCUACAAUGGACGGUACAACGAGUCGCGAACUCGCGAGGGCAAGCAAAUCUCUUAAAACCGUUCUCAGUUCGGACUGCAGGCUGCAACUCGCCUGCACGAAGUCGGAAUCGCUAGUAAUCGCGGAUCAGCAUGCCGCGGUGAAUACGUUCCCGGGCCUUGUACACACCGCCCGUCACACCAUGAGAGUUUGUAACACCCAAAGUCGGUGGGGUAAC